UGUCAUGACCAUUGGGUUCAGUUUACUUGUAGUAUCUGCAAACAUUUUAAGCAAGAAAAAAAUGCAAAAAACAAAAAGCAGGGACUCCAAAACACAUUCCUUACACACCUAUUGCUUUCUGUGCAAGUGCAAGGUCACUCUUACCUUGAUGUCUGCCCUGCUGGUGAUGUUGGCCUUGGCAGCACGAUGCGCAACAAAGGCAGCCAGCAGAGCAGCUGCAGAGUUGUGUGACUGCACCAAUAUAUUGCGUGCCUGCUGCCACCAGGGGGAGAGAGACUGGGGAUCCCAUGACUCCUCUAUAGCACCUAAUUAGAGAUGAGGGCAAGAGGGAGUGAAAGUCCCGUGUCACUGGUCAGUGUGAAAAGCACCAGCAUGGAUUUUGCUAACUUCUGAGGUAGUAUCAGGGGUAAGACAAUGAUAGUGUGAAAGCAUCCCGUGAAGAUGCAUACCUAGGCAUCUUCCUGUUCUUUUCUCAUACCUGCGACGAUAACAACUUUUGUUGAACAGUAUAUAUUGUCUCACAAAGUAUUGCUGAUAAACAAUAUUAAUGUCAACAUUAUUUUGAGACCAAACUAACCACUAAUGUAGUGAUAACAUAUACCGUAAUAAUAAUUAUAUUAUAUCAUAAUAAUUCAAGAUUUCCUUUAAUAUGUCAUCUUUUACUCUGUUGUAAAGUCACUGUUAAGUUAGUUAAUUGCUGGUUGUGACAAUGUAUUUUCUCAAAUGGCAAUUCGUACUGUCUGUCAAACGUUUGCAGCAUUUCCUGAUAACUUACGUACACUUACCUGUGGCACUGUAAACAGACAGGCAGACAGAACCACAUGAUACCAAAACUAUAGAAAAAGAAUGAAUGUCCGUCAUCUUCCACUUGGCUAGCUUGUCUAGACUUACAACAAAGUAGAAUAACUUCUGCAAGUCCCUUUGGAGUAUAAGACAACAAAAUAUCAGGAGAAUGCCGACUGGGGUGAGUCAUGCUAGUCGAAAUAUGUUAUGUUGAUGUGUCAGCAACACUCACUUCUGUCACGUGAUGGUGACGAGUGGCAAAGGAGCGGUGAUGUCAUCGUUUUCAAAAAGUAAUGUUUUGCUUGUAUACACAGAAACGACAAAGUAACCUUGCCAGAUUUUUCUACUCUAGAAGCCGUUUAAAAAAAAUACUGUUUCAGGGCACCCAGAACGCCAUUUUUGUGUGGAUGACAGGCUGGAACGAUAAAGUACUUUGCCGUUUCGAGCUGAAAACGUUCCCGUGUGGACAGCUCCACAUACUCACCUUCCAUGUUGCUGAGGAGGAUUAGUAGUGUGUGAAGGUUUUUAACACUCUCUUCUGUGUUCUGAAGAACCUCCUUCUCUCUUUGUAACCAGACACUCAGCAACAGGCUCUGAACAAAAACAAAACUGUUUUUAGGCAUUAGUGAACAAAAAAUAUAUUUGUAUUUGAUGUCUCACCAGCAGCUGCUGUGGACUGAUGCCAGCUUGUUGCAGUUUGUCACAGAUGUUAUGCGGUGGGCUUUUGCCACACAGGCCACCCCAGAAAACAAAGCUCCCUACACAAAACAUAUGGAGUUUCAGAGCGGUGGACGAGCUUCAACUGUCCCUCCUCUGUGCAUUCAAUCUGGGAGAGGAAGGCCUGGACAGACAGGGGUGUAUCUGGCGCAUCUUGGACAAAGGAAACGCUGGGUCUCGAAGUUGGCAGCACUCUGUGUGUACAGCAGCGUGCACAUGUUGGAUGUCACUGUAGAGCUGAAGCAGUUUCAGCUGGGAGGAGCAUUGCUGCAGUAAAACUGGAUCCACUUGUUGAGGGUCUAGUACACAAACAUUUGGCACACAAAAACAACCAAAUCAAAACAUGAUGUUCUCUUCAGUAAACAUGGUGUCUUUUAGUUGUAGAAAGUUGUUCCACCUUGCUGCCGCAGAGCACUGAAUAAAGCGCAUAUGAUGUUUUUGAGACACAAGACGGGAAUGUUCUUACUGGACAGCAGGGACUCUAAAGCCUAAAAGUAAAACUAGAAUUAGAAACGGUAUGAGUGUGAGUGUUGUUAUUUGUAAGACAUUUGUGAUCGUACCUCUUUUUUAAUGGAGGAGUGUUUGAUAUCCAGCAGCACGCUUUUGGCUUCAUUCUCUAAAAUAUCUGAAAGGAGAAGAAAGCAUGCAUGAGGACAUAUCGUCAAACCAAAUAAUACCGAUAUUAUAUGUUAAAGAUUAAAGCAGCACAAUGAGUCAUAUGGUUUUUGGUCUCUUACCAGGUUCCAACUCUGUGGUCUUGAGUAUUGUUGUUAGUCUCUUUAAUAAAUGCAUAUCUUUCGCUCCUUCACUUUUUUUGUCACUGAAAUGAAGAUGACCAUAAGGUAAGGUUUGGUCAAUGGUCAAGGUCAAUCUUAAUUUGUUUUAUGUAAUACACAUGUCAUCCAUACACCUGAGUAAGACAUAUUUCUGUGACUUCUUAGUGAGAAUAUUAUGUAUGAUUGUUAGAAUAUAAUAAAUGAGGCAAUCCUCAAGUACCAGUUACAUAUUACAAAAUGAAGAAGUGAUCAGUGUAUGCAAAUGAAACUCUGUGGGACAACCUGAGAGCCAGAUGGAAGGGAACAGUCACAGUCCUCAGUGCUCCUGUGAUGGGAUCUAGCAAACACACUUGUUGGGUGUGGAGCUGCCAGCCCUGACUGGUCACACUGUUCACCCCUAGCAGACGGUAGCCAGCAUACAGCAACCUGGAGGUAAACACAUAUACAAAUUGUAGGAUCUUAAACAAAGUGUUAGCUGCGGUGUCCGUGAAAUGCUAUUUGGUUUUAGACUGUUAAACUGGGUUUAUACUUGCACGCAUUUUGUCCUCACAGUGGCACUCAAUUUUGUGUGCUAGUGGCUUGCCCGUAAACAGGUGUGAUACAUGUGUAAACUGUGCAGGGGUUGCGUGACAGUGUGCAAAGAAAAUAUUGAAAUGUUCAAUAUUUGUGGCAUGCAUGAUUUCCAUUGUAAACGCACCGUGAACGCACCGCAACGUAUGCCUAAAUAAUGCAGGCAGUGCGUAUCAAAACAUGUCUCAUUCAGAUGAAUGCGCUUCGAGGUGUAACAAAGUUGUGCGGUAUCGAGGUUAUUUUGUGCCAAUGUGCAACAUUUUCCGUCACGAACUGCGUGCCAAAUGCGUAAUUUAUGCGUCAACAGAACGCAAACAGUGUGCAAACUAGUCUUCACGCUUUUCAGGCGUGCCACAAGAUAAGUAAAUAAAUGACACGCAUUGCCACUGCAAAUUGCGGGACAAUGCCGAAGCAAAAUGAGUGCAAGUGUAAACAUUGCCUUAGUCAUGGCUUUGUGUGUGUACCUGCAGUGUUUUCCAACAGUGAAGGCACCAACUCGAGGCCCAUGCUGCAUUGCCCAUAUCUCCAGGAUCCCCCUGCGGGGGGCAUAGAUGACCAAGAACAGCGCAUGGCGUCUGGGGAGGGAAGCUGAGGCUGAGGUUGAGCUUUCCCGACUAAUUCGCUCCUCUGGAACAUGCAGCCAACCCAGCUGGGCAUCUCUGUAACCUUUCAGUAAAUACACAGAUAUACUUGCAUGAAAAAAAAAAAACAGUCAAAGUUAUCAAGCGGGGCGGGAAAAUUAUGAAUGAGUCAAUUUCCCCUGGACACAACAGCUCCAGCCACUGUCAUCUGGCAGGCACUACCAGGAAAAACAAACACUAAAUUCAACAUCACGCUCUUAAAACAGAUGACUCAUCUGAACAUUAUGUUCCUUUAUCCCCAUUUUGAACAGUAAUGUUUGUAUCAGUUACUAUAACUCAGUUGCUGUUUUUCUACUGACCUAUAACACUUGGUACUUGAUACUUGUUGUUAAGAUGUUUUUGAACGUUUAUAAAUCAUGUCUUAGUGUUUAUGUAGCACAUAUUGUACUCAAUGAACUAGUACGGGAGUGACACAUUUGGAAACAAAUUGUAUACUUAAAAAAUAUACUUGGCCAAAAAUAUGAUUCUGAUUGCAGUAAUUUUCAAGAAUGUUAUUCAAUAAUAGGUAACUCCAAUGCUGUUUAUCAAAUGUUUGUAGCUUGAAACUAUGGUAUUAACUACAUUUUACCAUGUUUGGCCUUGCUUUCUCCUCACCUUUCCACAUGCGAAUGGCAAUCCCUCUGGUCAAGUCCAGCAAUGUAACUCGACCAAAGUCAUCAGUCACUCCAGCCAGUGUGUUGCAAGGGGACAGGCAAAUGGAUUCACCAUGCCGACGAGAAUCUGGGAGACCAAACCUGAAGAGGGGUGAAGAUGAAAAUCGGAUAUCAACUAGGUCAUGUUAAUAUUCCAGUAUUAAUCAAGCCAAAAAUGCGAGUGCGACUUUUCUUUUCUUUUGCGUUAUAUUAUGAUUGGCACCUGAUCCCCAAGGGUGUUGCAGGUUCCACCUUGGGCCUGUGUUUCUGGACAGUCUCAUCUUCAUUUUUACUCUUGCUCCAUCCUAGCCACCCACUGGGGACAAAGACAACAAGGACAAAAUUCAGAAAGUGAGAGAAGUCACACGCUAAAGAAUAAAAUGGUACCCACAGUUGCUUCAGUUUUUGUGUUUAGUACAACAGAGGAGUACUGCAAGCAGAAUUAUUCCACAGUAUAUCUGUAUAAGCAGACAUUCGUGCAAUGUUAUAUUGCUCAUUCAGGCAACCUUUUUUCCAAUUAAGUUCUUUGAUUUACUUUUCUUUGUUGUCAUAUGCAUGGAAAGGCAUUCACACCUGGCUGCACUAAACAGUGCUGAUGUAAGUUUACUGGCCACGGCAAGCGCCACAUGGGAGAGAAGAGGCUGGGAGCUUCCCUGGGGUAAAAAAAAAAAAAAGGAUAAUUAUGAGAUGAAAAUUUUAAAAAUACCUUAAAUUCCGAUGUAUAUGCCACACAAGCUUGGGUUGACCAGCUCGUUUUGAGUGCACUGAUAGCUUGUGAUUGGCUCCUGCCAAAGAAAGAGCUACUGUUUCCUCACUGACUCGUGAGCGGCACAGUAUUUAAACAAUUAGUAGUAGUUCUCAAGUAUAGAAGAUGUCACGAGAUUAGAAUUUAACCAUAGAUCAGCCGCAACGCUGUAUAAGCCGCAGGGUUCAAAGUUUAAGAAAAAAUUAGUGGCCUAUACACCCGAAUUUACAGUAUGUUCAUCUCAGUCAAGUCGUAAAUAUUUUCCACACUUGUAUAAUGCAUUGAUCCUUGUGUCUUGACUGCCAGUUCAGUCUGUGUGACAGUUCUCACAAGCUCACCUCGACUGCAUAGUAAAACCCAGUGUACGGGCCACCUCCUACGGUGACGUACUGGCUCAUGGCAGGGGGGCUGCCUUUGACUGAAGCUUUGAACCCCCCCAAAAUGGAGGCAUUCUUCAUCUGAUCAAACACGUUCAGUGUCAUGACACCUACAGAGGGAGAGGGGUGGACAAAAACAGAGUAGUAAUGUAGAGUAAGUAAUGUCACUGUGUAAUGUCAAACAUUUUUAUUUACAGCAAUUAACAAUCACCAUGUUUCUUUAGGGUGCAAUUUUCAUUGAGGCUGUUGUAAAGGUCAUUCUAUCACAGGAAUCCAUCCUUUGGGAGUUGUGAAUGCCCAUUUAAUAUACAAUUCUUUCAGAGGUCUUUUUAGUGUCACUUUUCAAGCGUACUCUACACAAAAAUUACACAAACCCACAUCCCUACCCCCAGUCAACGUGGGUAUUUGACAUAAAUGUCCCAGGGUAUCUUCAACAGCUAAAAAAAAAAAAAUAAUAAUAAUUAACUUUAAGUUUAAGUUCAGUCUGACAAUGAUGCAGCCGUAAUGUCUUGAUCAAUAAGAAUCAACAUCACCUUGCAACUUAAAUUCAGAUAUUGAUUCAGAUGGGAGCAGCAUGAUCAGCACUGGAAUGUCCUUAUAAAAUAAAUAAAUAACUACAUAAAUAAUAAUGGCAGCCAGACUAAACUCUGUUUAAGGAAAUUCAAAAAUGAUAUGAAAACGCAGUUGAAGUGCAAAGACAAUGUAGGAUUCCAUUGCUUCGUGUUGUCAGCAGUGUCUGGACCAGAACGGACGUCAGUUUGAGAACAGGUGGUGACAAAGCAAUAAAAUUAUAAUUCUAAUUCUAUUAGAUUUUGAAAUUGAAUGAACUACAAUAAAGACCUAGUUAACAAUUAUUAAAGUGUGAAUAUGCUUAUACACACACACAUACAUACAAACCUGAUGAAAAUCGAAUUUGCAUUUUGCACAUUUGGAUCUUAAUGAGGUUUUAAGUAUAGCUACACUAUGCAAAAACAAGAAGGGGGAGUGAGACAAAAAACAUUUGGAACAUGUAAUUUAAACAAACAAAAAAAAAACUGAAAUAGGUUGGUUAUCACCUAAUCAAAAGUUUAAGACCACAGGCUAUAAAAGCCAAAAUCUGCUUCACACUGCCAUGCCCUCCUGAUGGCUAAAGCUAAGAAGCUUUCUCAAUCACUAGGUUUGGAAUGUAGGUUUGGAAUUUUUUCCUCCCUUAUUAAUGAAAAGUUUCAAAAGUGCAUUUGUGUUUAGUUGUGUUGUCAAUGACUAAUAUUUACAUUUGUUUGAUGGUCUGAAACAUUUAAGUCUGACAAACCUGCAAAAAAAAAAAAAAAAAAUCAGGAAGGGGCAAACCCCUUUUUCACACCACUGUAUGUAAAAGCCUCAUAGAAGUACUAGAGGCAAUGUUGUGUGGAUUUUCAAAGCAAUACAUUUAACAAAUGAGAUCAUCUGAUAAUCACAAGCUUACAUGACUGGAAGUAAUAUUCUCCUUUGAAAAUAGUUCAUUAUUUCAAAGACCAACAUGUCUUUCCCGUGUGUGGCUAAAAACACGGGACAUUCCUUGUUAUUUUUAGUCAUUAAUAAAGCAUCUCCAGCUCACUUGUUAAUAAUAAAUAAAAUAUUAAUAAAAGGUGUGUUGCAAAUUUCAUUUGCUUAAACUUCUCAGAGAUUAUUCUUUCAUCCAAGCAAGAACCUCAGACAAUAUUCACCCAGGUUUCCUGGUAAAAGCAGUCAGGUUCUAUGGCAUUGUGAUUGUGUUGGGUGCGGUCCCGUCAGGUCACGCCACAGAUUUUAUAUUGUAUUUAGGUGUCAACUAUGCUGAGAAAUGUCUAAAUCUUCAUGUGAUAAUGCAAUUCUUACGUUGAUUUGGAUUUAUGCUUGGGGACAUUGUCAUGGUGGAAGGAAAAUUCUGCUUCAUUCUAAGCUUUCUGAUGGUUUGGAGCCAACAUGGAUUGGU